UGGCGGCGUGGAUUAGGCAUGCAAGUCGAACGCGAAAGUUCCCUUCGGGGAGCGAGUAGAGUGGCGAAAGGGUGAGUAAUGCUUGGAUGACCUGCCCUCGAGACGGGGACAACAGUUCGAAAGGACUGCUAAUACCCGAUAGUCCGGUUUAGAUGCGUCUAGAUCGGUAAAUGGUGCUUCCGCUCGAGGAGGGGUUCAAGUCCUAUCAGCUUGUUGGUGAGGUAACGGCUCACCAAGGCGAUGACGGGUAGCCGGACUGAGAGGUUGGCCGGCCACAUGGGAACUGAGACACUGUCCUGACUCCUACGGGAGGCUGCAGUCGAGAAUCUUCUGCAAUGGGCGAAAGCCUGACAGAGCGACGCCGCGUGGAGGAUGAAGGCCCUCGGGUCGUAAACUCCUGUCACAUGUUAUGAAACGCACAGGUCUACCUGUGCGCUGACAAAAGCAUGAGAGGAAGUCACGGCUAACUUCGUG
rnacentral:rRNA from 1 species